UUAGUCCUCAGUUACUUCACUCAAACACCAAUAAUUACACUCGUGUUCAAUCGAGACAGCAGCUUCCAGCAGGGAUCCAUUAGCAAAUUAGACACUAAUGUUGGGCCUGUGCCACAAGAUGAAGGGAAACCAAUACCGUCUGGUAUCUGGGAAACUGUCACCAUGCUACCAAAUGAGGAUACAGGAUAUGGGUUACUGGAGUAGGGGAUCAAAAGAACCAGAGACACAGUUGGACCCCUCAGACAGGAAACCACAGAUACCAAGCCCAGUCCCUGUCCAGGCUUCUUGUGGAGCUCCACAGUGAAAGAAUCCCACAGGUCCUCCUCCUUGUACUGGGCUUCGUCCCUGUAGACCACGAGCCGGACUCUCUGCGGGGUCUGCCGCAGCACGUUGAUGGCUUCAUCAUGACUGGCUGCACUGUGAGUGUCAUUUGGGGUUCAGAGGUUACAUUCCAGGGCUGGAUAUUGUCUACUGUGGCCGAGGCCAGACAAAGAGCUGCUCCCCCAAGCCUGACUGAGCAGACAGAAUAGAUGGGCUGAGGAGAGGAUGGCAGCAGGAGGAGGAGGAGGAAGGCUGUGACAACAUCAUUUCCUACAUUCCUGAGCCGCCACGGCUAUUUUGAACCUGGGUUACACCACCAAAGAU